AGCCAGACUCCUACGGGAGGCAGCAGUGGGGAAUAUUGGGCAAUGGGCGCAAGCCUGACCCAGCAACGCCGCGUGAAGGAAGAAGGCUUUCGGGUUGUAAACUUCUUUUAAGAGGGAAGAGCAGAAGACGGUACCUCUUGAAUAAGCUCCGGCUAACUACGUGCCAGCAGCCGCGGUAAUACGUAGGGAGCGAGCGUUGUCCGGAUUUACUGGGUGUAAAGGGCGUGCAGCCGGGAGUACAAGUCAGAUGUGAAAUCCCGCGGCUCAACCGCGGAACUGCAUUUGAAACUGUAUUUCUUGAGUACUGGAGAGGCAGACGGAAUUCCUAGUGUAGCGGUGAAAUGCGUAGAUAUUAGGAGGAACACCAGUGGCGAAGGCGGCCUGCUGGACGACAACUGACGGUGAGGCGCGAAAGUGUGGGGAGCAAACAGGAUUAGAUACCCUCGUA
rnacentral:rRNA from 1 species